CGAUAGCCCCGAUUGGCGUGGAAAUCCUUUUUGCGAGAGGCUUUGCCGAGCAAAAAGAUUGUAACAAAAAGCGGGACAAAUU
rnacentral:sRNA from 1 species